rnacentral:RNase_P_RNA from 1 species
CAAGCAGUCUGGGUGAUCGCGCGUACCAGAAGCUGAAAAGCGGUGCGUGAGGAAAGUCCGGGCUCCAUAGGGCAGGGUGCUGGGUAACACCCAGUGGGGGUAACCCCAAGGAAAGUGCCACAGAAAUGUAAACCGCCCAGCAGCGCUGGGUAAGGGUGGAACGGUGCGGUAAGAGCGCACCGGCGGUCAGGUGACUGGCCGGCCAGGUAAACCCCACCCGGAGCAAGACCGAAU